rnacentral:lncRNA from 1 species
GCUCCUCUUCCUUUCUCAAGGACUCUGAUGCAUCCAGUUUAUCCACCUUGGUCAAGUAUUCCUUCAUGACCUGAAUAAAGUAUGGCAUGGCAAAGUCCAUGAUGUUGUGCCUCCAUGCUGUUUCCAAGACAACGUCAGGCCUUAAAAGAUCAUAGCAGGUAAAGAGACAAGCACCAAAACAUUCUUUCUUGUUCUCCUGCAAGAACCACUGCAACAAUUCUUCUGCCA